CCAAUAGCGUAUAUUAAAGUUGUUGCAGUUAAAAAGCUCGUAGUUGAAUUUCAGGCCUGGCUGGACGGUCCGCCCUUCGGGUGAGUACUGUCUGUGGUCGGGUCCUACCUUCUGGCGAAGCGUCAUGGCCUUAACCGGCCGUGGCGGGGAACCAGGACUUUUACUGUGAAAAAAUUAGAGUGUUCAAAGCAGGCAAUCGCUUGGAUACAUUAGCAUGGAAUAAUGAAAUAGGACGUUGACCCUAUUUUGUUGGUUUCUAGGAUUGACGUAAUGAUUAAUAGGGAUAGUUGGGGGCAUUAGUAUUCAAUUGUCAGAGGUGAAAUUCUUGGAUUUAUUGAAGACUAACUACUGCGAAAGCAUUUGCCAAGGAUGUUUUCAUUAAUCAAGAACGAAAGUUAGGGGAUCGAAGACGAUCAGAUACCGUCGUAGUCUUAACCAUAAACUAUGCCGACUAGGGAUCGGAUGAUGUUAUUUUUAAUGACUCAUUCGGCGCCUUACG
rnacentral:misc_RNA from 1 species